GCUCUUGUAGCUUAGUUGGUUAAAGCACCCGUUUAGUAAGCGGGAGGUCUUGAGUUCAACUGUCAAUAAGAGCA
rfam:Ipomoea nil DNA, scaffold: scaffold1416, cultivar: Tokyo-kokei standard.